rnacentral:rRNA from 1 species
GACGAACGCUGGCGGCGUGCUUAACACAUGCAAGUCGAACGAAGUGGCGCACGGGUGAGUAACGCGUAAUCAACCUGCCCUUCAGAGGGGGACAACAGUUGGCAACGACUGCUAAUACCUCAUACUGAAGCAGGGGAUUGCGUCUGAUUAGCUAGUGGGCGGGGUAACGGCCCACCAAGGCGAUGAUCAGUAGCCGGUCUGAGAGGAUGAACGGCCACAUUGGGACUGGGACACGGGCCAGACUCCUACGGGAGGCAGCAGUGGGGAAUCUUCCGCAAUGGACGAAAGGCUGAAGGAGCAACGCCGCGGGAGUGAUGACGGCCUUCGGGUUGUAAAGCUCUGUUAAGCGGGAAGCGGUACCGGAAGAGAAAGCCACGGCUAACUACGUGCCAGCCGCCGCGGUAAUUC